AAUUCUCAACUCUCUUAUACUGUUUGGUAAAAGAGAGCUUGGACUGUGGAGGCUUGCUGGCCACUCGUUUGAGGUCAGCUCCUCUGAAAUGCAUUAGCGGAACCGUUUGCGAUCUGCCACAAGUGUGAUAAAUUAUCUGCACUGGCGAGGGGAUUGCUCUCAGUAAUGUUCAGCUUCUAAUUGUCUCUAUUUUGUGAGACUACUUUUGAAU
rnacentral:misc_RNA from 1 species